GGGCGAGUGGCGGAACUGGUAGACGCGCUAGACUCAAAAUCUUGUGACCGCAAGGUCGUAAGGGUUCAAGUCCCUUCUCGCCCACCA
rnacentral:tRNA from 1 species